GCACGGGUGAGUAACACGUAUGCAACCUGCCUUCAACAAGGGGAUAACCCGUUGAAAGACGGACUAAUACCCUAUAACACAGGGGCCCCGCAUGGGGAUAUUUGUUAAAGAUUAAUCGGUUGAAGAUGGGCAUGCGUUCCAUUAGCUAGUUGGUGGGGUAAUGGCCCACCAAGGCAACGAUGGAUAGGGGAACUGAGAGGUUUAUCCCCCACACUGGUACUGAGACACGGACCAGACUCCUACGGGAGGCAGCAGUGAGGAAUAUUGGUCAAUGGACGCAAGUCUGAACCAGCCACGUCGCGUGAAGGAAGACGGCCCUACGGGUUGUAAACUUCUUUUGCAAUGGGAAUAAAGUGAGUCACGUGUGACGUUUUUGCAAGUACCUUGCGAAUAAGGAUCGGCUAACUCCGUGCCAGCAGCCGCGGUAAUACGGAGGAUCCGAGCGUUAUCCGGAUUUAUUGGGUUUAAAGGGUGCUCAGGCGGGCGAUUAAGUCGGCGGUGAAAUUUUGCGGCUCAACCGUAAAAGUGCCUUCGAAACUGGUUGCCUUGAGUGUGGAUGAGGUAGGCGGAAUUUGUGGUGUAGCGGUGAAAUGCAUAGAUAUCACGAGGAACUCCGAUUGCGCAGGCAGCUUACUAAGCCAUAACUGACGCUCAAGCACGGAGGCGUGGGGAUCAGACAGGAUUAGAUACCCUGGUAGUCCACGCAGUAAACGAUGAUUACUGGCUGUUUGCGAUAUAAUGUAAGCGGCUGAGCGACAGCGUUAAGUAAUCCACCUGGGGAGUACGUUCGCAAGAAUGAAACUCAAAGGAAUUGACGGGGGCCCGCACAAGCGGAGGAACAUGUGGUUUAAUUCGAUGAUACGCGAGGAACCUUACCCGGGCUUGAAAUGCAUCUGGCGUCUCCAGAGAUGGGGAUUUCCUUCGGGACAGAUGUGUAGGUGGUGCAUGGUUGUCGUCAGCUCGUGCCGUGAGGUGUCGGCUUAAGUGCCAUAACGAGCGCAACCCUCAUCGUUAGUUGCCAUCAGGUCAAGCUGGGGACUCUAACGAGACUGCCAUCGUAAGAUGCGAGGAAGGUGGGGAUGACGUCAAAUCAGCACGGCCCUUACGUCCGGGGCGACACACGUGUUACAAUGGGUGGUA
rnacentral:rRNA from 1 species